rnacentral:tRNA from 1 species
GGUGAUGUGGCUCAGGGGGCAGAGCCCUUGCCUAGCAAGCAAGAAACCCUGGGUUCAAUCCCCAGCACCACAU